GGAAACGUGGCUGAGUGGUUGAAGGCACCGCACUCGAAACGCGGCGUGGGAGCAAUCCCAUCGAGAGUUCGAAUCUCUCCGUUUCCG
rnacentral:tRNA from 1 species